rnacentral:rRNA from 1 species
CCUACGGGUGGCAGCAGUGGGGAAUAUUGGACAAUGGGCGAAAGCCUGAUCCAGCCAUGCCGCGUGUGUGAAGAAGGCCUUCGGGUUGUAAAGCACUUUCAGUGGGGAAGAAAGCCUUGGGGCUAAUACCCUCGAGGAAGGACAUCACCCACAGAAGAAGCACCGGCUAACUCCGUGCCAGCAGCCGCGGUAAUACGGAGGGUGCGAGCGUUAAUCGGAAUUACUGGGCGUAAAGCGCGCGUAGGCGGUCUGAUAAGCCGGUUGUGAAAGCCCCGGGCUCAACCUGGGAACGGCAUCCGGAACUGUCAGGCUAGAGUGCAGGAGAGGAAGGUAGAAUUCCCGAUGUAGCGGUGAAAUGCGUAGAGAUCGGGAGGAAUACCAGUGGCGAAGGCGGCCUUCUGGACUGACACUGACGCUGAGGUGCGAAAGCGUGGGUAGCAAACAGGAUUAGAUACCCUGGUAGUC